GCUCCCUUAGCUCAGUUGGCAGAGCGUCUCCAUGGUAAGGAGAAGGUCGUCAGUUCGAUUCUGACAGGGAGC
rnacentral:tRNA from 1 species